CCUACGGGUGGCAGCAGUGAGGAAUAUUGGUCAAUGGGCGAGAGCCUGAACCAGCCAAGUCGCGUGAGGGAGUACUGCCCUAUGGGUUGUAAACCUCUUUUGUCGGGGAGCAAAAGCCGGACGUGUCCGGCUGUGAGAGUACCCGAAUAAAAAGCAUCGGCUAACUCCGUGCCAGCGGCCGCGGUAAUACGGGGGAUGCGAGCGUUGUCCGGAUUUAUUGGGUUUUAAGGGUGCGCAGGGGGAUUUUUAAGUCAGCGGUAAAAUCGUGGGGGUAAACCCCAAACAGCGGUUGAUGCUGGGGUUCUAGAGUGUGGGAGAGGUAUGCGGAAUGCGUGGUGUAGCGGUGAAAUGCAUAGAUAUCACGCAGAACCCCGAUUGCGAAGGCAGCAUGCCGGUGCACAACUGACGCUCAGGCACGAAAGCGUGGGUAUCGAACAGGAUUAGAUACCCGUGUAGUC
rnacentral:rRNA from 1 species